GACAGAGGGUGCAAACGUUGUUCGGAAUUACUGGGCGGAAAGCGAGUGUAGGCGGUCUUCUAAGUCGGAUGUGAAAGCCCCGGGCUCAACCCGGGAAGUGCACUCGAUACUGGAAGGCUAGAGUAUCGGAGAGGUUGGUGGAAUUCUCGGUGUAGAGGUGAAAUUCGUAGAUAUCGAGAGGAACACCGGUGGCGAAGGCGGCCAACUGGACGAAUACUGACGCUGAGACUCGAAAGCGUGGGGAGCAAACAGG
rnacentral:rRNA from 1 species